rnacentral:rRNA from 1 species
UACGUAGGAUGCAAGCGUUGUCCGGAUUUAUUGGGUUUAAAGGGUGCGUAGGCGGCCUAUUAAGUUAGUGGUGAAAACGUUCGGCUUAACCGGAUACCCGCCAUUGAUACUGAUAGACUUGAGUGCGACAGAGGGUGUUGGAAUGCGUGGUGUAGCGGUGAAAUGCUUAGAUAUCACGCAGAACACCAAUUGCGAAGGCAGAUGCCUAUGUCGUAACUGACGCUGAGGAACGAAAGCGUGGGGGGCAAACAGG